GCGGAGGUAGCUCAGCCUGGUGGAGCGAUCGGCUCAUAACCGAUGCGCAAAUGCGCGGGAGAAGCCCCGGGUUCAAAUCCCGGCCUCCGCA
rnacentral:tRNA from 1 species